rnacentral:lncRNA from 1 species
GCUGCGGGGGACCUUGAGGAUGGAUGCUUGCGGUUCGUAUCACCCAGCAGAAGUCUGGAGCUGGGGCUUCCCUUUAACUGGUCUGUUCAGGAGCACACAUAUGUCUGAGGUGACCCUGCUGUGAAAGACUGGAGAAUGACUGGCCUACACAGAGGGUUCGGUGGAUGUGUUGCCCAUGAGCUGGAAGGAGGAAAGCAAGAAAUGGGGAGGAAUGAGAGCUUUUGGAAUUCCCCAGAGGAAGCAGCUGCCUUCUUCCAAGCCCCAGGAAGCAGCUCAGUGCAUGGGAGGCUUCCUUGGGGUUCUCCCUCCAUCCUUGGUGGCAGGAUUUGCCCUUCAGGUUCAUCCAUUUCCUGGGGAUUAUCUCUGCAUAAUUACUCUGUGAUCCAAAUAGUUGAUUAGAGACACUCCAGUCCUCUCUUUGUCAACAUGGUACGCUUGUGGCUGCCAAACAUGACAGCUUUUUUAAAUUAUUAAAAUGU